GAUCAACGCUUGCGGCCUGCCUAAUACAGGCAAGUCUACCCAACACACGAGGAUCUUCCUCCUCUGACGUUACCUGCGUACGGGAGACUAACACGUGGAUAACCUACCUAUUGAACUGGGAUAACCUCUGUAAACCGGAGCUAAUACCGAAUAAUCUUGUGAACUGCAUGGCUCCAUAGUUAAAGACGCUCUUGCUCUCACUUAUACAUUGAUCCUCGCCGCAUUAGCUAAUUGGUAAGGUAACGGCUUACCAAGUCAACGAUGCGUAGUCGCCCUGAGAGGGUGAUCUGCCAAACUGGAACUGAGACACGGUCCAGACUCCUACGGGAGGCAGCAGUAGGGACUCUUCCGGAAUGGGCGAAAGCCUGACGGAGCAACGCCGCGUGAGUGAUGAAGGUCUUCGGAUCGUAAAACUCUGUUAUUAGGGAAGACCAAAUGUGUAAGUAACUAUGCACGUCUUGACGGUACCUAAUCAGAAAGCCACGGCUAGCUACGUG
rnacentral:rRNA from 1 species